CCUACGGGAGGCUGCAGUGGGGAAUAUUGGACAAUGGGGGCAACCCUGAUCCAGCCAUGCCGCGUGUGUGAAGAAGGCCCUCGGGUUGUAAAGCACUUUCAGUGAGGAAGAACGCCUGGUGGUUAAUACCCAUCAGGAAAGACAUCACUCACAGAAGAAGCACCGGCUAACUCCGUGCCAGCAGCCGCGGUAAUACGGAGGGUGCGAGCGUUAAUCGGAAUUACUGGGCGUAAAGCGCGCGUAGGUGGCUUGAUAAGCCGGUUGUGAAAGCCCCGGGCUCAACCUGGGAACGGCAUCCGGAACUGUCAAGCUAGAGUGCAGGAGAGGAAGGUAGAAUUCCCGGUGUAGCGGUGAAAUGCGUAGAGAUCGGGAGGAAUACCAGUGGCGAAGGCGGCCUUCUGGACUGACACUGACACUGAGGUGCGAAAGCGUGGGUAGCAAACAGGAUUAGAUCCCUUGUAGUC
rnacentral:rRNA from 1 species